rnacentral:ncRNA from 2 species
UAUUACUUGAUUGAUUAAAUUAAAAGGCUACCAAUCUUACCUAUAAUGGCAGCAUUCAUGGAACCCGGUGUGAACCCGGGACAGUUGGCGCUGCGGUAACUGAGCACAAAUCUCCAAUACCAAUCUUAAGAUUUCUUAGGGUGAAGGUGGAGAGGAGGCUAUGACUCAGGAGUCCGAAUACUUGAUUUUGUCAUUAGCGAUAA